UUAUUAGAGCAAGGGUUGAUCGAGCUUCCCAAACCCAGGUUUUCACGAGCGUUGGCGAGUCCUUUAGCUUCCUCUUGAUCUUGGAUUGCAUCAACCGCUUAAGUGAAACCAAAAGGGGAGAAUUUCCAUUAAUUCCUUGAGAAUAGUUGGUGGCUCACCCUGAAAGUCUACAUUUCUGAGGGCCAAGAAGACUCACAUAGACAUAUGAGCCUCCUCCUAGCCAUCAUUGUGGGAUUCACCGACGUUAAGAAUCAAACCCAAAAUGUGUUGUGCAAAAUACGAGCUUGAAAUUCGUCCAUAACUACUAGAUCACCCUGAGGUAAAUGCAAUGAAUAUGAAUGGUACACUAUCACGACGGAGACAGUGGCAGAUCUAGAAAAUAUAGUGCGAAGUGCGCAAAAAGAUAGUUUAUUCAUGGAGGCAUUUAGGCGAGCAAUUGGUGGGUUUGUGUCAUCAACCGAACCAAGUUGCACACAUUUAAGAAGAUAUUGACAUAUGCCGAGGCAAUCUGACGAGUGCUAUUGAGAGAAUUUGUCGAGUGUUAAUGCAGCUUGCGAGAAACAUUUUGUCAAACACUUGGUGUGCACAAAAAAGACAUGUACCAAACAUCCAGAGGGUCCUCGUAAGACCUUUACAUGUAUAUUUCAGACAAGAAUUAUCUUCCCUCAUAUUUUUUUUCCCUUCUCUUUACUUCCCAAUUUUUUGUAGAGAGAAAGACGAAAAAAAAGUAGUGGGAGAAAGAAGAGAAAAAAACUGUGAGGGGAGGAGAGGGAAUCCUCAUUCGCCAUUGGACGGAGAAAACGUUUUUUGUAUUUGUUGCAUGUAGAAUAUCUUUCACGUUCUUAAUUAUUUGUUGCUCAUAAAAUAUAGCAAAUAUGAGACAACUCGUUUGUUUUGAGUUCUAAUUAAAUAAGAGCACGCAUAGAAACUCAUUAUUUUGCUUUAAAUUCUCAUGAAAUGAUUGAAAUGUGGGUUUGUAUGUGCAAAACAAAGGCAUUUUUCUUUUU